rnacentral:rRNA from 1 species
GACGAACGCUGGCGGCGUGCCUAAUACAUGCAAGUAGAACGCUGAGGGAGGAGCUUGCUCUUCUGGAUGAGUUGCGAACGGGUGAGUAACGCGUAGGUAACCUGCCUGGUAGCGGGGGAUAACUAUUGGAAACGAUAGCUAAUACCGCAUAAUAGUAGAUGUUGCAUGAUAUUUACUUAAAAGGUGCAAUUGCACCACUACCAGAUGGACCUGCGUUGUAUUAGCUAGUUGGUGGGGUAACGGCUCACCAAGGCGACGAUACAUAGCCGACCUGAGAGGGUGAUCGGCCACACUGGGACUGAGACACGGCCCAGACUCCUACGGGAGGCAGCAGUAGGGAAUCUUCGGCAAUGGACGAAAGUCUGACCGAGCAACGCCGCGUGAGUGAAGAAGGGUUUCGGAUCGUAAAGCUCUGUUGUAAGAGAAGAACGAGUGUGAGAGUGGAAAGUUCACACUGUGACGGUAUCUUACCAGAAAGGGACGGCUAACUACGUG